AGUGAACGCUGGCGGUAGGCCUAACACAUGCAAGUCGAACGGCAGCACAGUAAGAGCUUGCUCUUACGGGUGGCGAGUGGCGGACGGGUGAGGAAUACAUCGGAAUCUACCUUUUCGUGGGGGAUAACGUAGGGAAACUUACGCUAAUACCGCAUACGACCUACGGGUGAAAGCAGGGGAUCUUCGGACCUUGCGCGAUUGAAUGAGCCGAUGUCGGAUUAGCUAGUUGGCGGGGUAAAGGCCCACCAAGGCGACGAUCCGUAGCUGGUCUGAGAGGAUGAUCAGCCACACUGGAACUGAGACACGGUCCAGACUCCUACGGGAGGCAGCAGUGGGGAAUAUUGGACAAUGGGCGCAAGCCUGAUCCAGCCAUACCGCGUGGGUGAAGAAGGCCUUCGGGUUGUAAAGCCCUUUUGUUGGGAAAGAAAAGCAGCAGGCUAAUACCCCGCUGUUCUGACGGUACCCAAAGAAUAAGCACCGGCUAACUUCGUG
rnacentral:rRNA from 1 species